UAAUAAUAAUAAAAAACAUACAAUAGAAUGCAGAUCUUAAGUGCUCAGUUCAAAGAGUUUUGAGAAUUGUAUAUACCCAUGUAAUCACUACCCAAAUCAAGAUGUGUAGAAUAUUUCUAUCUCCCCUGUUAAAAAAUACAAUGUUAUAUUUUUUAAACAGAAAAACAUAAAGAAAAUUAAAUGGUUAUCUCAACAGAGGAAGUUAUUAACACUUUAGAGUAUGUUUCUUCUGGUAUUUUUGUUUGUUUGUUUUGAGACAGGGUCUUGCUCUGUCACUCAGGCUGGAGUGCAGUGGCAUGAUCACAGCUUACUGCAGCCUCAACCUUCCAAGAUCAAGCAAUUAUUUCACCUUAGCCUCCCAAGUAGCUGGGACUACAGGCACACACCACCACACCCAGCUAAUCAUCUGGUAUUUUCUAUGCAUAUUCUUUUUUUUUUUUUUGAGAUAGAGUCUCGCUCUGUCACCCAGGUUGGAGUGCAGUGGCACAAUCUCAGCUCAUUGCAACCUCUGUCUCCCAGGUUCAAGUGAUUCUCCUGCCUCAGCCUCCUGAGUAGCUGGGAUUACAGGCACAUGCCACCACACACAGCUAACUUUUGUAUUUUUAGUAGAGACCGGGUUUCACUAUGUUGGGCAUGUUGGUCUCCAACUCCUGACCUCAAAUGAUCUGCCCUCAUUGGCCUCCCAAAGUGCUGGGAUUACAGGUGUGAGCCACUGUGCCCAGCAUGCAUAUUCUUUUUACAUGAUUUCUUUAUUCUUUCAAAAAUUCCUUCAGGGCCUAAUAAGUGCUAGACACUGCCUAGGUUCUGGGGAUAUGGCAAUGAAGGCCAAGAGUCCAGGCACUGCCAUCCUGAAAAGAAACAAAAUUAUUAAUAUAUAAAAUUUCAGAUAAUGGUAAAUGCCAGGAAAAAAGGUAAAACAGUGUAAUUGGGAUGGAGGGGAGGGCUGUGUUAGGUAGGAUAGUCAGGGAAGGCCACGAUGGUAGACUGUGUGCAAAAAAUGGCUCACUAUUCCCCCCACAAUGUGACUCUGCAGCAUCUCCACCCCACUGAAUCUGGGCUAGUAUUGUGACUUGCUUUAGACCACAACUUUUGCUUCAGCAAAAGUGACACUGUGACAGUUUUUUGUUUUCGGUUUUUUUUUGUUUUGUUUUUUUUUUUGAGAUGGAGUCCUGCUCUGUCGCCCAGGCUGGAGUGCAGUGGCACAAUCUCAGUUUACUGCAGCCUCUGCCUCCCAGGUUCAAACGAUUCUCCUGCCUCAGCCUCAUGGGAAUACAGGCAUGUGCUACCAUACCCAGCUAAUUUUUGUAUUUUUAGUAGAGACAGGGUUUCACCAUGUUGCCCAGGCUGGUCUCGAACCCCUGGCCUCAAGUGAUCUGCCUGCCUCGGCCUCCCAAUGUGCUGGGAUUACAGGCGUGAGCCACUGCACCCGGCAAUACUGUGAUAGUUCUGAGCCUCAAGAGGCCUUUUAAAAUUCUAUUCUGUCUCAAAACCCUGCCCAACCUCUAGGAAAACAAGCCCAGGUUAGUCUGCUGGUGGAUGAGAGACCACAUGGAUGCGAGCCAAGCAAGCCCAGUUAUCCCAGCCAAAUUCAUGAAAAGUACCCAGCAAAGAUCUCUGCCUUGAUGUUCACAUGGCGUUCCCCUGUGUGCAUGUGUCUAUUCCUUCUUUUAAGACACCAGUCAUAUUGGGUCAGGAUACAUCCUAAUGACCUUAUUUUAACUUGGUUACUUCUGUUAAAAACCCUAUCUCCAGCCGGGCACAGUGGGAACUGCCUGAUGGAUCCUAAGAGUGCGAAGGAAUUCCUCACUGGCUAGAGUGUGGGUGUCAUGUAGUUGGAUAGAGUAAUGGCCCCCCAAAGAUAUCCAUGUCCUCACCCUGGAGCCUGUGAAUAAUCCUCAUAUAGCAGAAGAGACUCUGCAGGUGUGAUGAAACGAAUGAUCUUAGGAUGGGGAGGUUACCCUGCAUUAUCCACAUGGGCCCUAAAUGCAAUCACAUGUCCUCCUCCUAAGAGGGAGGCGGGAGAACAGGUUCAGUGGAAGGUGGUGUGACUAAGCAAGUAGAGGGAGAAAAGGUGACGUGAUGUGGAUCGCGGGCCAAGGAUUGCAGGCAGCCUCUAGAAGCUGGGGAAGGCAAGGAUCAGCUUCUCCCCUGCACCCCCGAGAAGACACCAGCCAGGCCAACACCUUGAAUUUAACUUCCUAAAACUCAUUUCGGGCCGGGCAGGGUGACUGACACCUGUGAAAUCCCAGGUGGGAAGAUGGUUUGAGCCCAGGAGUUCGAGAUCAGCCUGGAUGACACAGCAAGACCUUGUCUCUACUAAAAAUUUUUUAAAAAUUACCCGGGUGCAGUGGCUCAUACCUGUAAUCCCAGCACUCUGAGAGGCCGAGGAGGGCAAAUUGCUUGAGUCCAGGAGUUCAAGGCCAGCCUAGGCAUCAUAGCGAAACCCUGUCUCUACAAAAAACACAAAAAUUAGCUGGGUGCAGUAGCCCGCACCUGUUGUCCCAGCUACUGGGGAGGCUGAAGAGGGAAGAUUACGUGAGCCUGGGAAAUCAAGGCUGCAGUGAGCCGUGAUCACACCACUGCACUCCAGCCUGGGCGACAGAGCGAGAUCUCAUCUCUACUAAAAAUGUUCAAACAAUUAGCUAGAGGUGGCACGCACUUAUAGUCCCAGCUACUCUGGAGGCUGAGGAGGGUAGGAGCGCUUGAGUGCAGGAGUUUGAGGCUGCAGUAAGCUAUAAUCAUGCCACUGUACUCCAGCCUGGGUGACAGAGCAAGACCCCGUCUCUAAAAAAACAACCACACAUACUCAGUUUGGACUUUUGGCCUCAAUUACUGUAAGAUAAUACAUUUGUGUGCUUUUAAUCCACUAAGUUUGUGGCAAGGUGUUAUAACAGCAUAGGAGACUAAACAGGUAGCAGGGUAGGUAUGGGAAGAAAAUAGGUUAUUAAGACUGUGCCGACUGCACUACGAAAUUUGAACUUCAUUCCAUAUGGGACAGGGAAAUGAGAGACUCAUAAGGCAGUAUGAUUAGAUAGAUGUCAGAGAGAGAAUUCUGAUGUGUGGUGGGCUCAUGCCUGUAACCCCAGCACUUUGGAAGGCCAAGGCAGGAGGAUUGCUUGAGUUUAGGAGUUUGAGACUAGCCUGGGCAACAUGGUAAAACCCCAUCUCUACCAAAAAAAAAAAAAAAAGAAAGAAAAGAAAAUUAGCCAGGCGUUGUGGUGUACGCAUGUAGUCCCAGCUACUCUGGAGGCUGAGGUGGGAGGAUCACUUGACCCUGGGAAACAGAGGCUGCAGGGAGCCAAGAUUCUGCCACUGUACUCCAGCCUGGCUGACAGAGACGCCAUCUCAAAACAAAAAAAUACUCCUGUAAUCCCACCCCUUUGGGAGGCCAAGGCAGCUGGAUCGCUUGAGCUCAGGAGUUUGAGACCAGCCUGGGCCACAUGGUGAAACCCCAUCUCUACAAAAAACAAAAAAAUUAGCCGGGCAUGGUGGUGUGCAGGUAUAGUCCUGGAUACUUGGGAGGCUGAGGUGGGAGGAUCACCUGAGCCCAGGGAGGUUGAGUCUGCAGAAAGCCAUGAUUGUGCCACUGCAGUACAGCCUGGAUGACAGCAGGAGACCCUCUCUCAAAAAAAAAAAAGAAAAGAAAAGAGCCUGGGCGCGGUGGAUCACACCUGUAAUGUCAGCACUUUGGGAGGCCGAGGCGGGCAGAUCACUUGAAGUCAGGAGUUCAAGACAAUCCUGGCCAACAUGGUGAAACCCUGUCUCUACUAAAAAUAUAAAAAAUUAGCUGGGCGUGGUGGCGGGUGACUGUAGUCACAGCUACUGAGAAGGCUGAGGCACGAGAAUCACUUGAACCCAAGAGGUGGAGGUUGCAGUGAGCCGAGAUCACGCCACUGCACUCCAGCCUGGGUGACAGAGCAAGACUCCAUCUCAAAAAAAUACAAUAAAAUAAGGCCAAGGUGACUCAUGCCUGUAAUCCCAGCACUUUGGGAGGCCAAAGCAGGGUGGAUCACUUGAGGUCAGGAGUUCAAGACUAGCCUGGCGAACAUGGUGAAAACCCGUAUGUGUUAAAAAUACAAAAAUUAGCUGGGUGGCCAGGCGCAGUGGCUCACGCCUGUAAUCCCAGCAGUCUGGGAGGCCAAGGUGGGCAGAUCAUGAGGUCAGGAGAUCGAAACCAUCCUGGCUAACACAGUGAAACCCCAUCUCUACUAAAAAUACAAAAAUUAGCCGGGCAUGAUGGUGGGCGCCUGUAGUCCCAGGAGGCUGGGAGGCUGAGGCAGGAGAAUGGCGUGAACCUGGGAGACGGAGCUUGCAGUGAGCCGAGAUCGUGCCACUGCACUCCAGCCUGUGCGACAGAGUGAGACUCUGUCUGAAAAAAAAAAAAAUAGCUGGGCAUGGUGGCAUGCGCCUGUAGUCCCUGCUACUCGGGAGGCUGAAGCACAAGAGUUGUUUGAACCCGGGAGGUGGAGGUUGCAGUGAGUCGAGAUCGCACCACUGCACUCCAGCCUGGCGACAGAGGGAGACCCUGUCUCAACAAUAAAAUAAAAUAAGGCCAAGGACCUGAAUGAAGGACUGAGCCAUGUGAAUACCUGGGGAAAGGGCAUUCUGGGCAGAGGGAGUGGCAAGUGCAAAGGGCCUACUCUGCACAAGUUGCAGAGUGGAAGGAGGUGAAAGCUGAGAAAGUAGUGAAGGAUUGGAUAUCUAGGACCUUCUAAGUCACGUUAAGACAGGUGGCAUUGGCCGGGCAUGGUGGCUUACGCCUGUAAUCCCAGCACCUUGGGAGGCUGAGGCGGGCAGAUCACUUGGGCUCAGGAGUUCAAGACCAUCCUGAGCUAAUACGGUGAAACCCCAUCUCUACUAAAAAUACAACAAAUUAGCCAGGUGUGGUGGCACACGCCUGUAGUCUCAGCUACUCAGGAGGUUGAGGCAGGAGAAUCGCUUGAACCUGGGAUGGGGAGGUUGCAGUGAGCUGAGAUUGCACCACCGCACUCCAGCCUGGGCCACAAAGCAAGACUCAGUCUCAAAAAAAAAAAAAAAAAAGACAGGUGGCAUUGGCCGGGUGUGGUGGCUCACAGGUAUAAUCCCAGCAUUUUGGGAGCUGAGGCGAGCGCAUCACCGGAGGUCAGGAGUUCAAGACCAGCCUGGCCAAUAUGGUAAAUCCCCGUCUCUACUAAAAAUAUAAAAAUUAGCCAGGUGUGGUGGCACACGCCUGUAAUCCCAGCUACUCGGGAGGCUGAGGCAAGAGAAUCACUUGAAUCCAGGAGGGGUUAGUAGAGCCAAGAUCAUGCCAUUGCACUCUAGCCUGGGCAACGGAGUAAGACUCUAUCUAAAAAAAAAAAAAAAAAAAAAAAAAAAAGACAGGUGGCAUUUACUCUGACAUGGGAGGCAUUCAGAGGUUCUUAGCAGUGGAGGCACGUCCUAUGACUGGCACUUUAAAAGGAUUGCUCUGACUGCUGUUUGGAAAAUGGACUUGAUGGGGCUAAGACUGGAAACAGGGAAACAUGUUAGAAGGCUCCAGCAACCCUCAGUGGGGAGGAUGAUGGUGGUUGGACAAGGGUGUUAGUGACAGAAGUGGGAGAAAUUGCAGAAUGCCAAGCGAAUCAUAUUUGCUGAUGCAUUGAAGAGAGGGAAUGAGAAAAAGAGGAGCCAAGGACAAGUCUAGGUCUAGGUUGUUGUUUUAUUGAGCAACUGGAAGACUGGAGGUAGAGUGUCCUGAGAUGGGGAAACUGGGAAGAGGAGACUGGAGCUCUGACUAUGUCCUAAAUUCAGGGAGUCCAUUAGAAAUCUUAGUGGGGGCUGGGUGUGGUGGUUCAAGCCUGUAAUCCCGACACGUUGGGAGGCUGAGAUGGAGGAUUGCUUGAGGCCAGAAGUUCAAGUCCAGCCUGGGAAACAUGGCAGGUCCCCAUCUCUAAAAAAAAAAUUUAAAUUUAAAAUUAAAAAAAAAAAAUCUCAAUGGGAAGGCUGGGCAUGGUGGCUCACGCUUGUAAUCCCAGCACUUUGGGAGGCCCAGGCGGGUGGAUCACUUGAUCUCAGGAGUUUGAGACCAGCCUGGCCAACAUAGCAAAACCCCGCCUCUACUAAAAAUACCAAAAAAAAAAAAAAAAAAAAAAAUUCGCUGGGUGUGGUGGCACAUGCUUGUGUGAGGCAGGAGAAUUGCUUGCACACAGGAGGCAGAGGUUGCAGUGAUCCAAGAUCACGCCAUUGCACUCCCAGCUACUCGGGAGGCUGAGGCACCAAAAUCACUUGAACAAGGGAGGCAGAGUCUGCAGUGAGCCAAGAUCACGCCACUGAACUACAGCCUGGGUGACAGUGCAAGACUGUGUCUCAAAUUAAUUAAUUAAUUAAUUAAUUAACUGGGAGUGGUGGCACCUGGCUGUAGUCCCAGAUACUUGGAAGGCUGAGGUAGAAGGAUCCCUUGAAUCUGGGAGGUGGAGGCUGCAGUGAGCCAAGAUCGCACCACUGAAAUCCAGCCUGGGUGACAGAGAGAGAUCCUGUCUCAAACAAAACAAAAUAAAACAAAACAGCUCCUUGCCUCCAUGAUGUUAUUAUUACAUAUGACAUGUCUGUAUCAAAACAUUUCACGUGUCCAGGCUCGGUGGCCCACGCCUGUAAUCCCAGCACUUUGGGAGGCCAAGGUGGGUGGAUCAUUUGAGGUCAGGAGUUUGAGACUAGCCUGGCCAACAUGGUGAAACCCUGCCUCUACUAAAAAUACAAAAAUUAGCCGGACGUGGUGGUGCACACCUGUAAUCCCAGCUACUCGGGAGGCUGAGGCAGGAGAAUUGCUUGAACCCAGGAGGUGGAGGUUGCAGUGAGGUAAGAUUGCGCCACUGCACUCCAGCCUGGGCAACACAGCAAGACUCCAUCUCAAAGCAAAACAAAACAUCUCAUGUACCCCGUAAAUAUAUACACCUUCUAGGUACCCACAAAAAAAAAAAAAAUAAAAAGGCUUGGUGCGGUUGCUCACGCCUGUAAUCACAGCACUUUGGGAGGCCAGGUGGGGCUGAUCACCUGAGGUCAGAAGUUCGAGACCAGCUAGGCUAACAUG
rnacentral:lncRNA from 10 species